rnacentral:lncRNA from 1 species
UCCCCAUGAAACGACUCCUCCAGCCUCAGCGGAAACCAAGAACGAAUGGGGGAGUCCAUGGAAGGCGAACGCUGCCGUCAUUUAAUGCCCGACGACGACCGGAGCGGAGCUCCACCGGAACCGCCGGUGCCGCCGGUCGAAACCGCUCCAUUUGUUCUCUCCCCGUUCAUUUAGUACCAUGUACUCCGCCCACCUCGCCCUCGUCGUCGCAUAUAAAGAGACGAGAGGAUAGAAAAUGGGGCAAUGAAGAUCGAGAAAGAAGGAGAGGAAGGAUGGUCUAAGGGAAGCUGGAGGUGCUUCUUGUGGGGGCGAAGGGCCUCGAGAACACCGAUUUCUUCGGUAAGUCACUCUUCCUUCUCAGAUAUUUUUCCCUCCUCUAAUCUUGCUUCUUGUCAGAAGCUGUUCGACCGUUUAAGAUCUCCAUGAUUUUUUUCCUUUUUUUUUGAUGAUAUUUAGGGUUGACGAUGUUAAUCUUUUUCCAUGAAUUAUAGUUUUAAGGUUUUUGGUGGUGUUUUGAUCGAAGUUUGACAGUCUUAAGGAUUUCGAUAACAAGAGAUUCUUGACUUUUGGCGCGAUUAGGGACGAGGAUUUAAUUUUGUUUGGAGAUUCUUGUUUCGUGGAUUCUUGGUAAUUUUUAAUGGAGGGUGAAAAGAUUUUGGGGUCAUGGAAAUUCUUUAAUCGGUUCUAGAGAAUUUUUUUCCCCCUCUUUUGCUCUUAAGGCGGAGGAUUUGAGUUUCUUCAUGAGUUCUUGAUGCUUGGGUUUUUGGUGUGUUCCACAAAAGUUUGGAAGUUUUUGAAAAGAUAUUGAUUUUAUUUCUUGUUUCGCUUCGAUUUGUUAUAUGAUCUUUUAUUGUUGGGAUCGGUUUCUGCAACGUGGUUUAUUGGCCCUGCCCGCUGGAAAAAGGCACGGGUACUUGAAACUGACACAAACUAGGAGUUUUGUUCUUGUAACCCAGCAGCAACCUAAAAAUCUUGGGCUAGAAUGAGAAUAGAGUGAGAACGUAGACAUAAAUGUAACAAAGAUUAUGUUGCAGACUAUGCCUGGAGCAGUUUCACAUAAGAAAAUCGUGCAUUUACCAUCGAAACGUUUGUGGAUGCAAUCAUGCAAUAUAUACUUGUUUUGAUUUUCUUUCUAUUGACCAUCGACCUUGCAACAUGUUAAAGGUCAAGAAUGUUAAUGCCCGAAUGUUGUGUUGUAUGUGAUUUGAACGUACAUUUAUGAAGUCAACAUGGAUUCGCUUGUUAUACCCAGUGGUAUUUAUGAACUGAUAGCUUGAUAAUUUGGAAACCUAAUUACCUUUUCUUGUAUUGAUGAUAAUUCUUAUCUAGCUAACCAAACCACCUUUUUUCUUGGGGAACUUAUUUCCCUGUGAUUCUUUGAUGGUUGAUGAUAUAUAAAUUAUCACUUUGACUUAUUGGAAUCUCAUGAAUGUUCGGUCAUUUUAGACAUCAUUAAGCAUAUUGUGUUAUUGUGUAAAGUUAGAGAUAUGGGACUGAAUUCAGCUGGAGGAGUGGGUGACAGUGGGUGACACCUGUAUUUUGAUAAUGGUGGCAGCACUAGGAUCUCUCUCUCUCAAAAAAAAAAGGAAAAAGAAGAAAAGAAAAACUUCAAACUUAUGAAAUCAUAUCUCAACACUAUGUGCUGCAAUUUUGUUCAAGAUUUUGUUUAAAUUGAUUUUUAGAGCCUAUAUUUAGAUGAACCACAGAUGAUAAAGAGCAUUGACUUUAGUAGAUCAAGAUGAUACAGGUGGAGUUGUGGUAGCUGUAACUAAUAGUAUGAGCUUUCAUGGACAGAGGUCUGAAUGUAUCUCUGAAGAGGUAGUGGGAUAUAUGAAACAGGAGUGACAUCCUCUUAGUACAAUCAGAGAUGAACAGAAGUACAAUGGAUCAUAUCUUAGUAGGAUGAAUCUUAAAUAGUUCCACUUAAGUGUCACAUUCGUGCUAGAACCACAAUUCUCAUUGUCAAGAAACAAUCACAGUCAUUAUGACGGUAUAACUUUGCUUCAUUCACCUCAAAGAAGCUUCAAGUGACCUCUCCCUUUUUUGAGUUGUAUUAUAUAUCUUAAAACUAGGCCAUCUCAUGGCCAUUCAUCUGUGUUGCAGCUUGCAUAAAUGUGCAUUUUUUAUAAGUUCUGAUUCCGUGACGUUUGAUUUGACCUCUACCUGUGGAAUCUUAACUUUUGAAUCUGCAUUUCCAAAUAUUUGUUUCAGUCAUUCAUUUGAUGUCUUUAUAUUCAACAAUACUGCAUCUUCAAACAAUUUAUAUUGGUGCUCCUCCCUUAUAUCAGUGAUCUAAUGCAAGCAUAAGAUUGAGUUUCCAUUGCUUUUGCAAUUCCCAUUUCACCAUAACUUCUUGAAUUUAUCAUUCUUUUCCAUGCCUUUUCUUAACUCGCCUUAAUAACCAUUUAUUUAUACUUAAUUAUCCAAAGCAAUAGCAACCAUAAUUCUGGGAAUGAAACUUAUAGGCAAGGAAGGCGGAAUUAUCCCGAACUGUCCGGUUCGGAGUGUACCGAGUGGUACUGAUAGUAGAUCAGGACAGUUCCAGCAAUGAAAUAAAGAAACCAACAAGGGAGGGUAAGAGUGAGAAGGAAAGAGAGAAAGAGAGGGAGAGAGGGAAAGGGUGGCAAUGAGCGACGGCCGUUGGAAUAGGGCCGAGGGAGGGGGAGAGAGGGCUUCGAAAGCCCUCUCCUCCGUGCGCCAGAAUAGGGGCAGAGCCUUUAUUUGAAAGAAAACAUGGGCUUCAAUUCCUUUUCUUAUUUUUUUCUGAUUUUUUAAAGUGAAGUCGAUAACCCCUAAUUUUCUUCUUUGAAAUUUUUUAAAUGAAGUUGGUAGUGUGAGAAAAGGACCAAAGCUCUUGUUUGCUUUCAAAAUAGGGGCUCCGCUCAUGUUCCGACGCACGGAGCAGAGAGGGCUUCGAAAGCUCUCUCUCAAGCCCUCUCUUCCCCCUCCCUUGGCCCUGUUCCGACGGUUGUCGCUCACCGCGGCCCUCUCCCUCUCUUCCUCUCUCUCUCCCUCUCUCUUCCUCUCUUUCUUCUUCCUCUUCCCCUCCCUCCGUUUUUCUCUCUACCAUGCUCUCCUGCUCUCUCUCUCUCCCUCCCUCUCCCUCACUCCCUCUCUCUCCCUUUUCCUCUCUCUCCUUUUUCCACUCCCCCUCUUUUACCAUUUUUUUCUGUCGGUUCACACCAAAACGGCAUGGCAUGGGGGUAUACAAUACCAUACUACCGGCCUAUCAGCACAGAUGCCGGUUCCAGUACUGCAGACCUUACUUAUAGAAUUUUGUUUUUUCUGCAAAUUAGUAGUUGAAGUCACUAAAGUGAGCCUUAGGCACGUCAACUGCAGAAUAAUAGAUUCUGUAGUCAUGCAUCAAACACACCCGCAUGUAUAUUUUGGGAGCGUUGCUAAAAGCCUGCAACAGCCUCUUGUAUGCCUACUUGUCUUUUAGACUGAGGAAUUGUAUUAGAGAAACAUUGGCCACUUUGAGAGAAGACAUAGUUCAUACUAUCCUUUUCCCCUUAGUUUGAAAAGCAGCAGAUUAUGUGUAAGAGAAUAAGGUUUGGCCGUAGAAUAACUUUAUGUUUUUAUGUUAUGUAUAAUAGAAACAUCAAAUACAAAACCCCUAAUAUUUUGUGCAGGGGUGAGUCGGAUAUAUUAGGUGCUCGUGUCCUUUGCUCACUGCCUUGUAUGCCUUUUCAAACUGAACUGGCUCUGCUUACCUCUAUAAAUAUGGAUAUUGUUGAAACCCUUUGCACAGUUACCUGAAAAAUGUAAUUAUGAUGUUUCUAAGACCAGGAAGCCAUAAGCUUCAAUAUGAACCCUCUACGGAUGAAGAUAGCUGGUGACCUUUUGAUUUACCCAGCCUCAUUUAGAAUUUUGAUUGGACAAUCCUUGUGCAGUUAGUGAUCAUGCCAAAGUUGUCCGAAACCAAAGCUAGGACUUUUCUAUUGUGGAUAAGAAUUAUUGGACAUGGGAUAAUUUGCAUAAAGAAGAUUGCUCGUUUAGAGAAAAUUGGGGCAAGUUGUGGUUAACGGCAGAUCUCUAUGAUUUCAUUGAUUCUUUUCUUGAAUCUCAAUUGUCAGGUUUCGUUUUCCGUAGUGCGACCGCUCAUAUGGCUGCACCAUGUUGCAGCUGCCUGCGCCAAUGUCCUCUUGUGCUGGUUUUAUAUUUUAGAUUCAAUGGGAUAUUAGCCUCUUGAACUAUAGCAACCUGUUCCUCCUCUUUCCUCAUUUUUUUUCUUUUCCUCAGCCUCCCCCAUAGCACAUGCACACGGUUUCCUCUCUAGUUUAGCCUCAUGCAAUAUCAAACUUUCUAGCAUUGAGCCCUUUUGCAUCCCCUUUUAAGUGUAUAAAGUAUACCUCAAAAACUAGAACAGAGUUAUAAAUAACUCAGAUGCAUGACACCAUUCAGAUUUUGAAGCGAAGAGCCGAACCCCACCUGGUUUUGUUGCAUCAGCAUCCGGCUGACUAAAGGAGCCCGUAAUGAGAUCAGAUCGGGCGUUGUUGCCAAACCAUGCCCUGCCCACGUCCAGCUGAAAGUGAAAGUUGGGCACCCCAAGAGAGAAGCCGAGCAGUAGCUUUAGCGCCAAUACAUGAUGAGAAGACCUUCUUGCAAAAAGUAAUCCUAGCGCAUCAUACUGAUAUCCCAUCUCCAGAGUCCAGGGCAAGUUUACUAAUUAGGUCAUAUCAUCGCUAGUCUGCUAAAAGGAUGUUAUUGGCUCAUUCUAAGUCUCCGAGGCAGUGUGUUCUACAAAGUAGCCUUGCAUGGCACCAAAUUUAGGGAUCACAAAUUUAUACACCAAUUACUGGUUUAAUUUUGUGCCCCGACGAUAUUGUCGAAUCACCUUCCCACUGGACUGCAGCCUGUUCUUGGUAGGGGAUGGGCUCUCCUCUUCCCUGGAAGACGAGCAAAUCUUGUCCGGCGACCCAGGUUUGACGGGUAGCUCAGCCUGGCUGGAGCUUUCCGGACUAGCAGCAAAAGCUGAUGAAGCCAGGACACUCUUGUUCGAGUUCUGAACUGAACUGAGCUGCCGAUCUAAGAAGUUUUGGAUCUCGAGACUUUCCUCUAACACUGGGAUAUCACCUGCAAGAGUCUUGAAUGCAAAUUCGAGGCAAGGGUCAGGCCAAGAAUCACCAAACGAUAACGUCAGUGGGGAUCCCACCACCUUAUCAUCGGUCGGUUCGCCCGCCUCCCCAGCCUGCUCUCCCAAGGCAGCUUCGUCCAUUCUGCUCCUCGGUUUCCUGGUCUUCCAGCACCACUAUGUCUUUUGUCUGAUCAGUUCUGAGCUUAGACAUCGCCCACCGGAACCGGUAACAAAUCCUCAAGUCAUCUGCAGGAGGACCAGCUUCAAGCCCCGCCAACCGUUUUGAUGCCCGGCGAGGCUGCUGCGCGGCUGCCUUCCUAGUUUUGGCUUUGCUGUUCCCACCAUUUAUAGCCCCUCCAUCGGGCUUUGCUUGCUUUUUCUCUGAGGGCGAUGACUUCUUCACAUCUUCUGGUUCUAGCAGCAGCUUCUGCUCUGGUCCUUGGAUCAUAUUUUUCCCCAGCAACUCACCUUCCGGAAGUACCCCAUUUUCCUGCUCCAAGCUCUCGGCAUCUUCCCAUUGAGUUGGGUAUUCUAUCAGCAGCUGCUCUGGUGCCAUAUCUGCUGGCUCAUUUGGCUCCUUGUCAGACAUUUCCGAUGGCUUCACUGGUUGUAUCUCAUCGCCCAGGUCAAGCUGCUCCCACUCCAGCGAAUCCAAAGCCCUGUUUGCUGGCUCAGAUGGUUUCUCAAUAAAUCUCUCUUGCUUCAACACUCUUGGUCUACCCUUCUUAGCCUUCUUUUUGAAGCGCUGGACAGAAUCCGAUUUUCUGAAUGCUAGCAUCAGAACCUCAUUCCUUUCCUUGUUUUCCAUGCCCCUUGAGUGCUCGGCAGGUUCUGACAAGUCACCAGUUACUGGUCCAGACAUCCUUUCACUCUUCGUUGUAUUUUCUUCUACUACAUGAUUGAUGUUUGGAACAGAGCCCACAGACGAAGAACCAUGAAUAUCUGCAAUACAAGAAGCUUGCAUCAGGGGAGCAACUGAACUGCAAAAAUUGAAACUUGAUGGGCGACCAUCUUUCUUCAGUUCAGAUACCCACACACAUACAUAUGUAUGCAUGCAUACAUGCAUCUACAUAUACAUAUGUGCGUGCCUAUAUUAUAUGAACUCGAUGGGCAACCAUCAUUCUUACAAAAAGAGAGAGUUUUUGGUAGCAAAAUAAAUCUCUACUGAGUACUGAAUGUUCCAUUCUGAUGAAGUUCGGAAAUUUACAUGGCAAAGAAGCAUGAUCCAAAGAUGGCAGGUUUGGUUUUUCAUCCAGUUCAUCAGUGUCGAUCACCGCCUCUCCAUUUGAAUUUUGCGUCUGUCCUGAAAAAAGGCAUCGCCUCACAGCUAUUCCAGGUGACUCCAGUUUGUUGGCUGAACUUGGGAGCUGCGGUGGGAAAUAGGCAUCCAUGAGAAAAACAGGAAAGAACAUCUAAAAAUAUAUCUAGACAAUAUUUAAGUUGGAGGUAUAGGGAAUUUUAAACAUUGAAUUAUUUAAUGAAAAUGAAGUCCUUCUCUGGCAUCUCUACCAGUAACUGGCACAAAAUUGAAUGAGUCUGUGUCAUAUAAAUGGUUGUAAGAUUUCAUGUUAAAGGGAAAACAGUGGCAUAUUUGCAACAGAACUGAAGGCAAUAAAGAUGAAUUACCUAUAAAUUGAAUGUAAAAAAUAAGUUUAAAAGUGCAAUGGAAAUAGAGUUCUUAGAAUCAAUUUAGUCACAAUCUUAGCCAAAAUCUGUGUGUUAAGACCCAAAAAAAUUCAGAUACAAUUAUAGACUAAAAGACACUAAACUUACAUAGAACAGAGCUGGACAAACCAAAGAAGGAUCUAUUAAUGCAUCAAAAGGAUGCUGAAAAUUAUUCCAGAAACAUCGCAAUUUAUUUUAAUAUUCUUGUUAUCCUCCAAACUAAGUCAUGUUAUGAAGAACAGCAAGUAAGAGAUGAAUUCUUUUUAUCAAUUCCACUAAUACCUUUUAAGCUGAAACUUAAUCCAAUAUUUCCAUCAAAAAGUAUUGCAUUUAAGUAGUUAGGCUUCAGACAAGAAACUACAGGUGGAAGCGCAAGAUGCCACUAAUUACUUAUCAACAAAUACUCUUAGAAAAACUGUGACAGAAAAGACUAGCGAAACAGGGCAAACGUCCAUCUUCAUUUCAAAGGAUCGCAGGCUCAAGAUCUAUUUCGCAUCAUCAUGUAACUUCUAUGUAAUAAAUUAGAAUGUAAACAUCUUGUUUUAGAUGAAUACAUUUCAAAUCCAAGAUAUACCUGUAAUAGUUACAGGCUCUCAGACCAAGUUAUACCCAAUUCAGGAAAAGUUACGCACCAUGUUGGAACUUAAAUGCAGAAGGCUGAAAAUAUUUCACUAUUGUGAUAUCUUGUAAGAUUCAUGAUCAUCUUGAAUCUAAUAUUAUCCUUUGCAAGUACCAUCUGCUUAUGUUUCUGAUAGGCAUGCUUCUCCCUUUCCACUCCAUAGCUGAUAUUGAUGAGAUUAAUAGGUAAACCAGCAAUACAUUGUGUAAGAUGUAGAUAUGCUUUGAUAUAGCGAGCUGAACAAAAAUAGGUAGAAAGAAACCACAAGAAACAACAGUUCUGUAGACUUACAGGAUCUUCCUCUUCGAAGGAAUAUUUGUCAUACAGGCUUCUUUUCCUCGGUCUAAAUGCAUGUUUACUAAUUUCUCCAGUUUCAGUAUAACGCUGAACAUCCUUUAGUGUUCGAAAUACAUAGCCAGAUUCUGGAUCGGCAUAAUACUGUAGCAAUCAGGUCAUUUAUUAUCAAUAUAAAGUCUUUGUUUAACAUAAGCAACAAGUGUAAAACAUAAAGAAGAAAAAUGAUGAAAAUAAGAUGUACUCCAGAAAAGCAAGCAGACAAAUUAAUUAAUCGAAUUCUGCAUUGCACCCAGUCAGAUAUAAGAAGUGAUAAAGAAAAAGCAAAGGAAUCUUGAAAGAAAACACUUUUAACAGUGUCACUAGUAGCUAACAACAGCAGAUGUGCAAGAAGAGUAUGACAGCAAGAGUUGUCAUGAAGAGUUUAGGAGACAAUACUUUCGAUAUUAACCAUAACAAAAUUAAUUCAAGCAUGGAAUACAACAAUGGUACUAAAAAGUUGAACUGCUAAAACCUCAAAGGACAUGAAAUUGAUGCGGUCAACACAUAUAGAUGUUGGAUAGUAAGAAUCCAAUGUCACUGCCAACCUAAAGUCAGCUUGCCACAAUAUCUUACUUUGCCUAAAAGCUAUAGAUUGAUACGUAUCCUACUUGCUACCUGUUCCAAGAGAAUGGAAUUAUUGCACUUAUUCACAGCCUACUUUGUUUACUACAGCAGGGAAGUCUAAAUAUGAAUACUUAAAUACUAAGGAGGCCAAGACUGUGGAACAGGGCCAUCCUGGUUCUUCCAUGGAACAGAAUGCCCCACGUCCCAACACUUAGUAUGGUGGAUGUCCUAUCUCGUCCCAAUCCAUUUCUUGACCCAUCCUAUCUCAAAAUUUGGGUUGGUGCCCCAUCCCAACAACUGAUAUUUAAAAUCUUGAAGGAGACCAUUUUAUUAUAGAUAAGCUUGACCUAAAAGACAUAAGUUCUUAUACGCAGAAAAUUGGCUUUCUAUCUUCCCUUUUGUUGGUAAUCUGGAUUCUGGAGUAGCAUGCUCCAGAAUAUGAAAUGAAUCCAGAGACAAAUGAAUAAAGUCGUAGUUGAACAUUAGGCGGCAUGUGAAAACCCUGCCUAUACAUGGGAGAUGCAAGAUCACUCAUGCCAUCAAAUGCAUGAUAUGUCCCAAUGGUUCAAGUACAGUAUGCCGAAUUAUUUGGUUUGGGGUGUAUUGAACCGAACUGGGAUGGAACCAGGAUGGUUCGCCCCUAUUUUUCAAAAAUCAAGAGAAAUGCUUGGUUCACACCGAUACAUGCUGGUAUGGUCGCCUCCUCCCUUCUAAUAAUAGAGAGAGACCUGAGAAGGUCUUCGAAGCCUUCUUAAGCCUUCUCCUCUUUUUUUUUUUCAAAGACCUUCCAAUUUUGCAAAAAAUGUGGAUUUCAACAAUUAAAGUCUAGAUCCAACCUAAAACAAGGUAUGGUAGCUCUCUCCCAUCUAAUGUCGGAAAAUGGCAAAAAAAAGAAAAAGAAGUGGUCUUGCCAAAAUUUUUAAUUUUGGUAUAAUUUUAUGAUAUGUUGUAAAUCUAUAGAUAAUCUACACAAUAAGACCAAAAUCUUUAAUUUAGCGUCUAUUUAUUCAAAGUUUCAACAUGAUCAUAAAUAUAGUGAUCUAAAUCCAGAUUUGAAUAAAAUUGAAAAAUAAGUAAUCUUUGAUGUACCCUACGGGCUGAGAAAAAUAUAUAUAGCAUCCAUAGUAGGGUGCUAUAUAGAUCUGAGCUCAAAUUAAUUUUUUAAAAUUUUUAUAUUUAAAUUUAUUUUUAAUUUAAAAAUUAUUAAAAAAUAUAUAUGAAAAAUUAAUAUUACAUAUUAGAUGAUUCAAGAGUAUUUUCUAAGUAGAAGAUAUAUUUUUCAUCAUAACAAAAUUUUAAUAUUUUUAAAUAAUUAAUAAACUGAUAUGUGCUUAAUAGACCUACAGGAAUAAAAAAAGACGGAUCCAGAGCAUGAUAUUGGUUGGAAUCAUGGGCAGAUGCUCUCGGAUCAGCAUCUAUAGAGGUGCAACUUAUGCAAUACAGAUUUUAAGAAGGGAGCUAACCAGGUUGAAGCAACAUCUAGCUGGUGAUUCCGACGUAUCUAUAUGCCGAAAAUGUAUACAGAAGGUCCCACAAUUGAUGAAAAAGCACUUCGUUGAUUAUAGAGCAGCGAAGGAGAGGGCUAUCCAAAAAAAAUGGAGGUGGAUCAAUUAGCAGUAGAGUCACUUUUCUAUCACUUUAGAGAGUCAAAGGAGGCUUCUAUUCCAAAUGACAAGGAGGCGCACAUCCAGACUGUCAUUCAAAGCAGCUUGGAUAAUUAGUGGUGGCAAGAUGAAGUGGCUAUGCACAGGGCUCAACUGGACCCUCAUACUACGAGUUGGGCUCUGGUUCUAAGGCCGACAGAAAAAAUACAGAGUUCAGGAGGCCUUCCUCAGUCACGAAGGUCGUCAGUAGAGGCAGUGGCCAUAUUGCAUUUAUGUUAAAAACUUUUAGUAGUAGGAAGAAAUCCUCCAAAAAGAUUCCACUAGAGGCCGCCAUAUAUAAUCUAAAUUCACAUGCUUUUCCUAGCAGGGGUUGAUAUCAUGCUAGGAAGAACAAGAAGAAGGAUAUGUGGCGAGCUAUUGCAUCCUAGUUUUACUUCAGCCAUAUCCCGGUGAAUGCAGCAGGCAACAUAUAUUAUAGGUCUGUCAUUUUCUCCAUCCAAGCUGCCGGUUCGGGUGUGGAUCCUCUAGGAUCAAAGGAUAUCUAUGGUGAGCUUCUUGCCAAUAACAAAAAGCAGUUACAAAAGUGGAUUACCUUAUAUCAGAGCAAGUGGCCCAUAUAUAGAUUAACGGUGAUAUAUAUUGGUCAGAUUGGUCCUACCAAGAGGAGCAUCAACGACUUUUUGAUAUACUAUGAUACGAAGAUUUUCUUCCAGAAGUCUAUUGAUGCUUUCGAUUGGUACACGACGCCAUGUACAUCCUCAAAUUGAUGGAAGAGGUGAUUGAUCAGUUAUUAGUGCAGAUGAUCACUAAUAAUAGACCGCAAUAUAAGGCCAUCGGAAAGAUCUUAAUGAAGUGGCAACCACAUAAUUUCUAGAUCUGCAUAUUUAUGGACCUCAUGUUGAUGGAGAUUGAAAAGAUUCGUAAGGUAUAAUAGAUAGUCGAGACGGCCUAGUCCAUCAUCAGAUUUAUUUAUAACCACAUAUGGGUCUUAUUGCUGAUGAGGAGAUACACAAGGAGGGAGAUCUUGAGACCAGCUAUGACACGGUUUGCUACUAACCAUAUUUCAUUUGAUAGCCUCCUUGAGAGAAAAGCAAACCUGUGUCAGAUGUUUAUCAGUGUCGAGUGGCAAAAAAGUAGAUUGCCAAGGGUCGGCACUAAGGGGAGCCAUGUGGAGAGAUUAGUGACAAGACAGACGUUCCAGCAGCAAGUCGAGAAGAUAGUGAAGACUAUCAAACCAUCAUUGAAGUGCAUCGGACCGUGAAUAGUAAGAGGUAACCCCCGAUGGCCUUUCUAUAUCAUAUGAUGGAGAAGGCAAAAAAUAAGAUCAGGAAAGCAGAUCCAAAGCAUGCCUAGGAAUACAUCAAUAUCAUUGAGCAGCGGUGGAUUACCAGAUAGGCAGAAACUUGCAUCUAGCAGGUAAGCAAGAACAUUGAAAAUUUGAUUGCUUCUGUACUCGUAAAAUUUUACUAAAACAAUUACAAACUCUAUUAGCAGCUUACUAUAUGAAUCCAAGGUUUUAGUACACUAGGGAUCGAUAUAGACAAAGCACUUAUAACUGCCCUGCUCAAUGUGAUUUACAAGAUAGAGCCUGAUCUAAAAGUCUCGGCCUUAUGUCCACAAGAGAUAAGUUAAUUUAAGUGGCAUGCAUAAGUUAACUUGUAUCUUCAAUCAUUAACAUAUUAUAACACGUAUCUUUUAUGCAGAAAAAAAAUAUUUAGAGAGGGCACUGAUAACUUUGGAGUCUUAGCAAUUGUCAUAAGUAAGAAAUCUAUGAAUUCAGGUAUAUUAAGUAUCAACAAUAACCAUUACUUGAUGUUUUAUAGUUACUAAUAUGAUAUUAUCUUAUAUGUAAUUUUUUUCAAUAAUUUUGUAAUUGAAUGGUGGAUUCAUUGGGUCUGUCGGCGAGAUAUCUUAAAUGGCUAGUCAUCUAGAUCCUCUUUUAAAUGGUCUCCUUAAUUUACUGCGAGUGCAACUAGUCCACCUUAACCCUCAUCUGCAGCAAGUAGAGGAACUAUUUGAUACAGAGGCACCUCAACAACCUCAUAUAUAGCCACUACAAUCUGAAAUUGAGGCUGAAGUGUAUUCAGAAGGCAGUGGAACUGAAGUACAUAGAUCCAAUCCAUAAUGCUUUUGUUCAGGAUGAGAAUGAUACUAUGAUCAGAUGGCUUUGGACUAGCAGCAAGAGCCAGAGCUUGAUGAGCCAAGAUUGCCUCCACGAUCAGCUAGUUUCAUAGCCAGCAAGUUUAGGGUGGAUGUAAAGCAAUGGGCAGAUCAUAAUAUUUUAUGUAUGUGCCUAGCUGAUCACCACAACCAUAGGGGCCAGUGGAGAGCAGAUCAUCGUAUGACUCCAUGUCAGAGACAUUCUUCCAGAGAUAUGACCGAGAGUUCUUUAGAUGAGACCAUCAUGCUAUCCGGUCGACUCAAUCAGGCAAGCGACAUCUAUCCUUCUAGUAUAGCCAGGCAGAGGGGGCACGAAGGAAAAGCAGGCAACUACCUAGCGUAGUUGGAAAGAAAAAAAAGACAAUUGCAGCCCCAAUGGAGAGAGUGGAGUCCAUUCACUCAAAGACUACGGAAAACAAUGAUGAUAGUUCUGAUAAUCAUAGAAUUGGUGGCCAGAGAGGGAGUGGAGGGUAUGACAUCACUGUUUAUGAAACAGUCGUAGGAUGGUCUUCGAUUCAUUGGUGUUCCAAUUUACAUAUACUACACAGGAUAGAAAACACGGUGCAUGAGCUAGUAGAACUUGUGAGGAUAAUGACAGCAUACAGGAGAUGGGCGCUUCAAGAUCGCACAAGACACAAUAUAAUUGAUGUAACUGCAAAUGACCUCGCACAUUGAGUAGAAUCAAUAGAUGUAUAAAAUUCCAAGGCGCAUGCUGGAUUCUAUUACCCGCAAUCAUAGGCAGCUUAUGACCUAUAUAGAUAUAUAUGGUGCAUCUAAGGCACCAUUUUUUAGUGGCUACUAUCAUAUGCAGUCUAGAGCAUCUUACGGGUCAGAUUUUGCUGCCGGCACAUUCAGAUGGGCUCCUCCAUUACCAUAUUAUCAACUAGAAGACACCUCCCAGAGCUAAAACUUCAGUGAGAGAUCCAAGACUAGUUAUAACUCAAAGUCCGCACCUUGUGGGAUGUGUAUAGGACUACAACGUCAUUUGGCUAGAAGGAUGGGCUAACGUGCCUUCUAAUUAUGCUAAUGAUCCCAAUAUCUAUGAAAAUAAUUGACACUCCACCAGAUUUUAAAUGUCGGAAUGUAUGUUAUACUUUAAUAUCUCUAAUUGAUUGUAUCAUUGCAUGUUUUGUAUUGUACUAAUUAAUUUUAGAUAUUCUACAUUGCUUAUUACAUCCAAACUUCAACUAAGGGUCAAAAAGCAUCAUUUAAGGCAAGGUCCGCAAUCUCAGUACCAGGUACUAUAUUGAAACCUUACCGGUUUGAUUCGGUAUGGUACGGUACACCUCUAUGCCAAAAUAGCUCUCUUAUCCAUUUUCUCAAUUUUUAUCUUGGUACGUCUCGGUACGGACCGGUACGCAUCUCGGUACGGACCGGUACAUGCCUCGUAUGAGCCGGCACGCAUCGGUACAAAAAGGUACAGAGCUUGUACCGACUCGAAGGAGUGUUUCAUACCGGUUUUCUCCUAGUAUAGUAUGGUACGCCCCAUAUUAGACGGUAUGGGAUGGUAUGACAAAUCUUGAUUUAAGGUAUAUCGGAUGAUAAAAAUAUCAAAUCAGAAUUUUAACCCUAAUAAAAAUAUCAAAAGACAUCAAGAAACAUCAAAUUAGAGUUAAAAUCAUUCAAAACACCAAGAAAUUUGAUUACUUUUCAUUAAAUGUUAAAAAAAUUAAACAAUAAAAAAAAUGGUGUGCUGGUUCGGAAUUGGCAUGCCGCAUCAUACCAUGUGUUAGUAUGGUACUGAACCAGUAUCGUACUGAACCGGUAUCUGACCGGUACGGGUACAAUACCGGUUCAACUUACCUUGGGUUCAAGAGAUAACAACCUAGGUUUUCUUCUUCUACCUCUCCUUCAAAAAGGUAGCAAGAAGAUAAUAUAACAUUGAUUAUGAAAGGCUCAGAAAUAGGUUAUGUAAGGCUCAUAGAUAACGAUGAAUAAAAGGAUAGAACACAUUUCUAAUGUCCAAUUCAUCUACUUUGCAAGGUUAAACAUGUCCGAGGUUGUUAGAUUUUUUUUCUUUUCUAUUUCCCCAUUGUUUGUGUUCUCUUCCUUUUUAUGUGAGGCAGAAAGUUUAGAUAUCAAGUUAUCCCUAAUAUAAACUUUCCAUAAUACUACCAUUUGAUGAACUUUUGUAGUACCAGCAGCAUCUGACAGGUAAUAGUGUUGUUAAUUGUAAACAUAAGUAUAUCCUCCUUUUCAUUCAUAUCAAGAACUCCUUUUAGCUUAUUUGUGCUGGCAAGAUGUGUGGCUUUUGCAUAAUGUAAAUAUAUGACUAAUCACUUGUAAAUGUGCUGCGAACAUAUUAGAGCACGGUCAACAUAGAUAUUCAGGAUGCUUGAUAAUUAAAACAUGUCCAAGCACUAGUAUAAAGUUAUUAAAAGUAGCUUAUGCUUCAACAAAUGAUAAAGUAGCCUAUCUUAACAUGCUAGUUUCAAAUCAUUUUACAGACAUGCUAAUCCUUUCGUGCCAGUGUGUG